UCUCGUGGGACUGAUACAUUUAUCAGAGAACGCUUUGUUGUGAUGUUGUCCUCUAAUACAGGUGAAGGUCUCAAAUUAUUUUAAGAAUGGUAGCGGUAACACAGUGGGUAACUCACCAUUCAGCAAUUUACAGCCUAUGCUAAAUCCAAGGGACAUUUCCCUGAGGUUAACAGCUCCUACACAUGCACUAUUUGCCCAAAAGAAAUAGAAAGUUUUCCCCUCAUCAAGACCAAGGUAUGGCUAAAAUCACUCAUGUAAAAAACUAUUGGAGGAAAUCACAGCAUUGUUCAAAUAUAAAGUGAAAAUAUUUUUAAAAUACUGUGUCGUAAAGCCUCUGCUGUACUCUUUUUUAAUAGCUGUCCAGAACUUUGCCCUCAUUCCCCAGCAUACAUCCCCAUGCUGUGCAAGAAAUUGAUGCUCUGCAUGAUGUCAUCUUGGAUACCAGACAACGUUAGAACACAAAUAAUAUCAUACUUAUGGGAGACUUCAAUGCUGGCUGUAGCUGUUUUGAAUGCAGACUGGUCGAAAAUAAGACUCCGUAUAGACCAGAGUUACAGCUGGCUCAUCCCUGACAGUGCAGACACAACUGUCACAAACACCAACUGCCCUUAUGAUAGGAUUGUGGCCACCUCCCCUGACAUGAUGAGAGGACUUUCCCCAGGAUCUGCACGUCUUUAACUUGAUGCAAGCCCAGGUAUCGAGUCACAGCUGGAUAAGGACGAUCUGUGCCUCAUUGGUGGUAUUAUCCUAAGCAUUAAACGUAGGAAGCUCUAAGGAGAACUGAGAUAUUGUUUAGCGUUUUCAUCUGUCUGAACCAUUCAUGUCUCUUCUAGGCCCUGGCAGUGAGUGAUCACUUUCCAGUUGAGGUCAAGCUUCUGUGAAAGAUCAAGGUUGUUCCCUCGCAGCAGAUACACUAGUUAAAUGUUUGGACAUAUGACUAGUUUUAUGAUUGUAAAAAUCUUUUGAUUUAAAAAAUGCUUGAAAUUAGUUUUGCAGACAAAUAUGAACAGAGCCUUUGUAUAAACUUCUUUAUAAAACUAAAAUUUAGUUUUUUAUAAAAACUGACAAAAUAUUCAAGGUAAAGCAGCCAACAAGUUACAAGCAUACAUGGCAAGUCCUAUACUGUUUUUGGUCAUUACAUAAUUCUCAUACUUCCAUUUGUGUUAUUUUAUGGUUUUGACGACUUAACUAUUAUUCUAAAAUGUGGAUU